rnacentral:rRNA from 1 species
UACGAAGGGGGCUAGCGUUGUUCGGAAUUACUGGGCGUAAAGGGCGCGUAGGCGGCUUCGAUAGUCGGGUGUGAAAUGCCUGGGCUCAACCCAGGAACUGCACUCGAAACUCCGAGGCUAGAGUGUGGGAGAGGAUAGUGGAAUUCCCAGUGUAGAGGUGAAAUUCGUAGAUAUUGGGAAGAACACCGGUGGCGAAGGCGGCUAUCUGGACCACAACUGACGCUGAGGCGCGGAAAAGCCAGGGGGAGCAAACGGG